UACAGAGGGUGCAAGCGUUAAUCGGAAUUACUGGGCGUAAAGGGCGCGUAGGCGGUUUGGACAGUCAGAUGUGAAAUUCCUGGGCUCAACCUGGGGGCUGCAUUUGAUACGUUCGGACUAGAGUGGGGAAGAGGGUCGUGGAAUUCCCAGUGUAGAGGUGAAAUUCGUAGAUAUUGGGAAGAACACCGGUGGCGAAGGCGGCGACCUGGUCCUUGACUGACGCUGAGGCGCGAAAGCGUGGGGAGCAAACAGG
rnacentral:rRNA from 1 species